UGAAAAGCUUGGUGAUCAGACGGUUCUCCAACUUCCACUUCUUCAGAUGCUUCAUCCAGUGGUUCUGGAUCCUGCAAUUCUAUACAUAAUAGUUUCUUCCAUCGAUAAUUGAAGGAAUGUGGCUCAUCACAGUUGUAACAAUGUCCCUUCACACGGUGUUCAACCAUUUCUACAUGACUCAGAUGUUUGACAAAUGGAGUUGAAGUGCUUCCUGCACUUGAAGCUACAAUACCUGUACUUCCUUUAGAUUUGCACUUUUGGUUCCUAAUAGAUAUUGUUGUAGAAUGUUGAAAAGAUCUUGUUGUAAUUACACCCCACGUGUCUGGUCGAGCCAGCUUAUAACGCCCCUCACCCGAUCUACAGUGUAGCCGAGUAAGGAACGCCACAUUUUGUACCGGAGCACCUUAUCUUAUCUUACUUUAUUUAUUAUUACCUUUAAUCCCAUUAUGUGUUAAAUCGAGUUUCCCUUGUUUUAUUAACAUUUGACCUAUUAAAGUAAUCACCUGUUUAA
rnacentral:misc_RNA from 1 species